GUAUUAGUGGGCUGGUGGUAAUCUUAGUCGUUGCUGUCGACUAGCCGCGAGUUCGAUUCUUGCUUAAUGCA